UACGGGGGAGCAAACGUUGUUCGGAAUCACUGGGCGUAAAGGGCGCGUAGGCGGCCGGGUAAGUGGGGUGUGAAAGCCUCUGGCUCAACCAGAGAAAUGCACUCCAUACUGCCUGGCUUGAGUAUCGGGAGAGGAGAGUGGAAUUCCGGUGUAGCGGUGAAAUGCGUAGAUAUCAGGAGGAACACCGGUGGCGAAGGCGGGUCUCUGGGCAACAACGUGACGCUGAGGAGCGAAAGCGUGGGGAGCGAACAGG
rnacentral:rRNA from 1 species